GCUAAGGUAAACUAAAAAAGUUAUAGGAUUCAUAAUCCUGGUAUGGGAUAUGUCCCCCUUAGUAAGGU
rnacentral:tRNA from 1 species